CAGUCGCCGCGGGAAUACGAAGGGGGCUAGCGUUGUUCGGAAUUACUGGGCGUAAAGCGCACGUAGGCGGACAUUUAAGUCAGGGGUGAAAUCCCGGGGCUCAACCCCGGAACUGCCUUUGAUACUGGGUGUCUAGAGUAUGGAAGAGGUGAGUGGAAUUCCGAGUGUAGAGGUGAAAUUCGUAGAUAUUCGGAGGAACACCAGUGGCGAAGGCGGCUCACUGGUCCAUUACUGACGCUGAGGUGCGAAAGCGUGGGGAGCAAACAGGAUUAGAUACCCGGGUAGUCCCUGUCUCUUAUAC
rnacentral:rRNA from 1 species